rnacentral:misc_RNA from 1 species
UUUCCGUAGGUGAACCUGCGGAAGGAUCAUUAAUGUGUUUGGGCCUCACGGCUCUUCAUUCCGACGCUGUGCGCCUUCGGGCUGCACGCUGAGGGAGCAUAUAUCCACCCCCGUGCACACACACGGUGGCGAGCUGGGUAACGGCUCGCCGCUGAUCUUUACACACGUCUAAAAGUCAUUGUAUGUUUAUUUGAGAUAAAAACACAACUUUCAGCAACGGAUCUCUUGGCUCCCGCAUCGAAGAACGCAGC